rnacentral:lncRNA from 1 species
UUUUUGUGAGCCUACAACACCGAGGAGUUGAAGCACUGGUGAAGGUUGGGCGGGGAGCUGGUGGAUGUUCAUCCUUGGAAUCCUCGGAGAUGCUCAGACCUUAACCGGGUGAGGUCCUGAGCAAGCUGCUCUAGCCUGGAGGCCACCCCUACUCUGAGCAGAGGUUUGCAGCAACUGACCUGCAAAAGGAGUCCACAGUGGCCCCUGGUGGUGUCAGUGACAAGGUCCCUUGGGUGUGAUCCAAACGUACUCCAGGAUCUCAUGGGAAAAGGCCGGGAAGGUGGAAAGGUGCGUUACCUAAUGUGAAACCGUAAGCUCUCCCAGGACCACGUUACCUGCCAUAAUUUAUGAUCUCCGUGUGCACUGUUGUGGGCACUAUCUCUGGUGCCUCCUUCACUGCGGCGGACCCUCACCAUACAUACCCAGUUUGUUGCGUGAGAAUUUACCGUGGCUAUUAUGGGCACUGUCCGACUUUCUCUCUUGGAGAACUGUUGCAUGAAUUAUUGAGCGGACAGCAGCCUGAUCGCAUCAUCUGCCAGUGGAAUUCACGUCAAGAAGUGCAUUCUCUCUUCAGAUCACUUCCAAUGGGAAAGAAUCUUUGAACUUUGUACUGCCAGUACAGAAAGAAGCAGAAAUGGCUUUGAGAUAAAGUUGUCUCAAAUGCUGCAGAAAAUGUACAUGUAGUUAUGCUUCAGUUUGGAAAGCCUUAUGGGUAUUACAGUGGAAAGAAUAACAGAAUGGUUUGUUUCAGCUUUGGUCUUGAUUUGGGUCCAGGUUUCCCCUGUAUACAUACACGCACACAUUGGGAAUAACAACUGAGGGCUUGCAGAGGAGCUGGCCAAAAGAUCAGGCCAAGAACCAGAUUUUUCCUCUUUGGUGAUGGAGAGGAGGCAAGCAACUCCACAUACCGUCCUUGCAAGAAACCAUGUACAGGGCAGGCACCAGUUGUGCUCUCGGGAAGGAGCAGACCUGCUUGUGCAAUGCUUAAUGCCCAAACCAACUGCGCUUCCAGUGUUAUUCCAUUUCGCUCCCAGUAGGACAUAGCUGAAUCACAACAUUACUCACUGUUGCAGUGUUAACAGCUGUGCUCUAGGGCCGGUCACUUCGAAUACAUUAGCUCUUUGUUCAGUCCCUUUGUUUUUUCCAAGUGCUUGUGAGGGAGGGGUACUUGACAACACAACUUUAUCUCAGAACUGAUGUCAAAAUAAAUGCCUCCACAGAAAGCUUUCCUGCCUAGGAACAGCCAUGCAGAGCACACCAGGGAGCAGGAAAGACAAGUCCGGGUCCCUGUACUGCUCUUUUUUGACGAUAUAGGCAGGGGAACCAUGUGUAUUAACCACAUUGGGAUGUGUUGUGCAGCAGAAUGAUGUAAAGCUGUUACAAGCAGAUGUGCCAUGCUCUGACACACUCCAGUUGGAAAUCCCUGUCAGAAAUGCCAGCAAAACCUUCUGCCUUUUGUUUUGUUUUGUCUCAAACAUGAAUCUGCACAGAUUUUACAGGGUGGAGGUUAUAAAACAAGGGCAACAACCAUGACAGGGGCUUUGGCCUUAGGAAUUCAAGACUGGCUCAGUUCACCUUAGCAAUCAUGAAGGCCUUGCAACAUCAGGCAACCUCAAGUAUGGUAACCUGCUUAUUAGAAUUUAGAAAAUUUCCCCACAGAAGAUGCCAUCU